UGCUGGUGAAAGAGAAAGGCUGGAAGU
rnacentral:piRNA from 1 species